UGACUGUUUGUGCCAGUUGAUUGAACU
rnacentral:sRNA from 1 species